rnacentral:rRNA from 1 species
CCUACGGGAGGCAGCAGUGAGGAAUAUUGGGCAAUGGAGGCAACUCUGACCCAGCCAUGCCGCGUGAGUGAAGAAGGUUUUCGGAUUGUAAAGCUCUUUCGGAUGUGACGAUGAUGACGGUAGCAUCUAAAGAAGCCCCGGCUAACUUCGUGCCAGCAGCCGCGGUAAUACGGGGGGUGCAAGCGUUGUCCGGAAUCAUUGGGCGUAAAGAGUUCGUAGGCGGCACGUAAAGUCUGGUGUUAAAGGCAGAGGCUCAACUUCUGUACGGCACUGGAUACUUGCGAGCUAGAAUGCGGUAGAGGUAAAGGGAAUUCCUGGUGUAGCGGUGAAAUGCUUAGAUAUCAGGAGGAACAUCGGUGGCGUAAGCGCUUUACUGGGCCGUAAUUGACGCUGAGGAACGAAAGCCAGGGUAGCAAAUGGGAUUAGAUACCCUUGUAGUC